rnacentral:rRNA from 1 species
UCCAAUACCAACAUUAGUGUGCGAUGGAAGGACGCUUAGGGCUAAGGGGGCUAGCGGAUGGAAGUGCUAGUCUAAGGUCGUAGGAGGUUAUACAGGCAAAUCCGUAUAACAAUACUCCGAGAACUGAAAGGCUUUUUGAAGUCUUCGGAUGGAUAGAAGAACCCCUGAUGCCGUCGAGCCAAGAAAAGUUUCUAAGUUUAGCUAAUGUUGCCCGUACCGUAAACCGACACAGGUGGGUGGGAUGAGUAUUCUAAGGCGCGUGGAAGAACUCUCUUUAAGGAACUCUGCAAAAUAGCACCGUAUCUUCGGUAUAAGGUGUGGUUCGCUUCGUACUAGGAUUUACUCCGAAAGCGAAGAAACUUACAACAAAGAGUCCCUCCCGACUGUUUACCAAAAACACAGCACUCUGCUAACUCGUAAGAGGAUGUAUAGGGUGUGACGCCUGCCCGGUGCUCGAAGGUUAAUUGAUGGGGUUAGCAUUAGCGAAGCUCUUGAUCGAAGCCCGAGUAAACGGCGGCCGUAACUAUAACGGUCCUAAGGUAGCGAAAUUCCUUGUCGGUUAAAUACCGACCUGCAUGAAUGGCGUAACGAGAUGGGAGCUGUCUCAAAGAGGGAUCCAGUGAAAUUGUAGUGGAGGUGAAAAUUCCUCCUACCCGCGGCAAGACGGAAAGACCCCGUGGACCUUUACUACAGCUUGACACUGCUACUUGGAUAAGAAUGUGCAGGAUAGGUGGGAGGCUUUGAGUAUAUGACGCCAGUUGUAUAUGAGCCAUUGUUGAGAUACCACUCUUUCUUAUUUGGGUAGCUAACCAGCUUGAGUUAUCCUCAAGUGGGACAAUGUCUGGUGGGUAGUUUGACUGGGGCGGUCGCCUCCCAAAUAAUAACGGAGGCUUACAAAGGUUGGCUCAGAACGGUUGGAAAUCGUUCGUAGAGUAUAAAGGUAUAAGCCAGCUUAACUGCAAGACAUACAAGUCAAGCAGAGACGAAAGUCGGUCUUAGUGAUCCGGUGGUUCUGUGUGGAAGGGCCAUCGCUCAAAGGAUAAAAGGUACCCCGGGGAUAACAGGCUGAUCUCCCCCAAGAGCUCACAUCGACGGGGAGGUUUGGCACCUCGAUGUCGGCUCAUCGCAUCCUGGGGCUGGAGCAGGUCCCAAGGGUAUGGCUGUUCGCCAUUUAAAGCGGUACGCGAGCUGGGUUCAGAACGUCGUGAGACAGUUCGGUCCCUAUCUGCCGUGGGCGUAAGAAGAUUGAAGAGAUUUGACCCUAGUACGAGAGGACCGGGUUGAACAAACCACUGGUGUAGCUGUUGUUCUGCCAAGAGCAUCGCAGCGUAGCUAAGUUUGGAAAGGAUAAACGCUGAAAGCAUCUAAGCGUGAAGCCAACUCUAAGAUGAAUCUUCUCUAAGCUCUCUAGAAGACUACUAGUUUGAUAGGCUGGGUGUGUAAUGGAUGAAAGUCCUUUAGCUGACCAGUACUAAUAGAGCGUUUGGCUUAUCUUUAAUAAAGCAU